rnacentral:rRNA from 1 species
ACAUGCCUACAACAUAGCAUUAAUGCAUCGUAUCCCAUUAGAACUCUGAAGUUAAGCGUGCUCAGGCUACAGUAGUACUGGGAUGGGUGACCUCUUGAGAAGUCCUAGUAUUUUACAUGCC